AUGAAAAAAAGGCUUUAAUAUUCAAUGAAUUAGCUAAAAGGUUAAAUUUAUUGUCAGAAAUUUUUCCAGUAUCAAUUUAGUGAAAUUACAAAUUGAUGCAGUGUAGACUCUGUAUUUGAUGUUUUAGAUAGAGGGGAUGGGCAUUACUUGUACUUAUAUAUACUUACAGAUAUCAUGCUGUCAUACUUGUAGUGUGAGAUAGGGUCAGGUGGAGGUAUUAACACUGAAAUCGUAGAUAUUACUGUUACCAUCACAUCAUGUGUUUGAUUUACAUCUUAUUUAAUACUGAUUGUCGCUUUGUAAAGAUAGAUCAAUUUAAAGUUUUCCAGAUCAUCAGAUAAGAGGGUUAUAUACAGUGUCAAAUAAUAAGUCACAGUGAUUGAAAUUUGAUCACUUGGGGCCAGUUGUUUUUCUUUUUCACAAAAAAGUUUUCUUCUAGUCAAUAUUCAUUUUCAGGGCAUUUUUUCUUCUUCCAAGUUUGGUACAGGAGAGUGAUUCAGGUUACCAAGAUUGAGAUAGAACGCAUUGUGUAUUGAUGAUUGUACCAACAAUUCCUGUUCACCCAACGAAUAUAUGUGUUUCUACAGUAUCUUUAAUUUCUAUUCAAUAUAAUUUAUGUAUUUUUUUCUUUUGUUUACACUAUUUGAUGGGUCAUUAAUCUUUGGUUGUGUAGAUUAUAUACACAAAGUUUUGUUAUAAUUAUAAAGACAAACCCUUUACAUUAAUAUGCAAUAAAUUUAUAUCAAAUUUGUGUACUGGU
rnacentral:misc_RNA from 1 species